CAGUCGCCGCGGGAAAACGAAGGGGGCUAGCGUUGUUCGGAAUCACUGGGCGUAAAGGGUGCGUAGGCGGAUCCUUAAGUCAGGGGUGAAACCCCGAGGCUCAACCCCGGAACUGCCUUUGAUACUGGAAGUCUUGAGUAUGGUAGAGGUGAGUGGAAUUCCGAGUGUAGAGGUGAAAUUCGUAGAUAUUCGGAGGAACACCAGUGGCGAAGGCGGCUCACUGGACCAUUACUGACGCUGAGGUGCGAAAGCGUGGGGAGCAAACAGGAUUAGAUACCCCAGUAGUCCCUGUCUCUUAUAC
rnacentral:rRNA from 1 species